rnacentral:lncRNA from 1 species
UAUGCAUAUAGUCUAACAAAAAACCUUAAGAUACCAAAAUGUUUUUUUUUGUUUUUGUUUUUGUUUUUGACUUUGAAUCAUAGUGUACCAAGGUUUACAGCCACUGCCCAGUUUCCCUGAGUUCUAAUAGAGGAGGAGGAAGCGACUGCAACAACAACGGCGUCGACAGCAGCAGCAGGAACUACAGGAGCAGCAACAAGAGCAGCAGCGGCUGCGGCAGCAGCAGCAGCAGGAGCAGCAGCAGCAGCAGGGGCAGCAGCAGCAGCAGCAGCAGCAGCAGGGGCAACAGCAGCAGCAGCAGCAGCAGCAGCAGUGCCAGCAGCAGCAGCAGCAGCAGCAGUGCCAGCAGCAGCAGCAGCAGUGCCAGCAGUGCCAGCAACUGCAGCAGCAGCAGCAGCAGCAGGAGCAGCAGCAGCAGCAACGUAGGAGGAGAAACAACAGGAGGAGCAGGAGGAGCAGGAAGAAUAAGAAGAGCAAGAGGAACAGGAAGACCAGAAACACCAGGAGGAGGAGGAGAAGAAAUAAUGAGUGAUUGUGUCUACAUUUACGGGAAGAGUUUGAUGUGGUAG